rnacentral:rRNA from 1 species
UACACAUGCAAGUCGAGCGGAGACAGUGAGUAGCUUGCUAUGAGCUGUUUUAGCGGCGGACGGGUGAGUAACGCGUGAGCAACCUUUCCCAGACAGGGGAAUAACACACCGAAAGGUGUACUAAUACCGCAUAAGACCACGGAAUCACAUGGUUCUGAGGUAAAAGAUUUAUCGGUUUGGGGUGGGCUCGCGUCCGAUUAGGUAGUUGGUGAGGUAACGGCCCACCAAGCCGACGAUCGGUAGCCGACCUGAGAGGGUGAUCGGCCACAUUGGGACUGAGACACGGCCCAAACUCCUACGGGAGGCAGCAGUGGGGAAUAUUGGGCAAUGGAGGAAACUCUGACCCAGCAACGCCGCGUGGAGGAAGAAGGUUUUCGGAUCGUAAACUCCUGUCCUUGGAGACGAGUAGAAGACGGUAUCCAAGGAGGAAGCCCCGGCUAACUACGUGCCAGCAGCCGCGGUAAUACGUAGGGGGCAAGCGUUGUCCGGAAUAAUUGGGCGUAAAGGGCGCGUAGGCGGCUCGGUAAGUCUGGAGUGAAAGUCCUGCUUUUAAGGUGGGAAUUGCUUUGGAUACUGUCGGGCUUGAGUGCAGGAGAGGUUAGUGGAAUUCCCAGUGUAGCGGUGAAAUGCGUAGAGAUUGGGAGGAACACCAGUGGCGAAGGCGACUAACUGGACUGUAACUGACGCUGAGGCGCGAAAGUGUGGGGAGCAAACAGGAUUAGAUACCCUGGUAGUCCACACUGUAAACGAUGAAUGCUAGGUGUAGGGGGUAUCGACCCCUUCUGUGCCGCAGUCAACACAAUAAGCAUUCCGCCUGGGGAGUACGGCCGCAAGGUUGAAACUCAAAGGAAUUGACGGGGGCCCGCACAAGCAGCGGAGCAUGUGGUUUAAUUCG